rnacentral:tRNA from 1 species
CCCUGUGGCUCAGUUGGUAGAGCAUGGUGUUUGCAACGCCAGGUUUGUGGGUUCGAUUCCCACAGGGG